rnacentral:rRNA from 1 species
GACGAACGCUGGCGGCGUGCUUAACACAUGCAAGUCGAACGGAAAGGCCCUGCUUUUGUGGGGUGCUCGAGUGGCGAACGGGUGAGUAACACGUGAGUAACCUGCCCUUGACUUUGGGAUAACUUCAGGAAACUGGGGCUAAUACCGGAUAGGAGCUCCUGCUGCAUGGUGGGGGUUGGAAAGUUUCGGCGGUUGGGGAUGGACUCGCGGCUUAUCAGCUUGUUGGUGGGUAGUGGCUUACCAAGGCUUUGACGGGUAGCCGGCCUGAGAGGGUGACCGGCCGCAUUGGGACUGAGAUACGGCCCAGACUCCUACGGGAGGCAGCAGUGGGGAAUAUUGCACAAUGGGCGGAAGCCUGAUGCAGCAACGCCGCGUGCGGGAUGACGGCCUUCGGGUUGUAAACCGCUUUCGCCUGUGACGAAGCGUGAGUGACGGUAAUGGGUAAAGAAGCACCGGCUAACUACGUG